CUUCUAAGAGAAGCCUAUGUGCGUCUUCAUGCAUUUUUCAUUGACUUUCCUGUCCUUAACGUAGCCUUAAAGCAGGCCCUCACAGGCCAGAGGGUGGCUCUUCUGGGUCCUCACGAUGUCAGGAGGACACCUGCAUUGUCUCACUUACUCUUCUCAACACCCUGAGUGUGUAUACUAUUUAGCAGAGUGCAAGCAUUUGACAGACAACAGUCUAAGGGGAGCAUUCCUUCAACAUUAAAAACGACUCCUGCUCACCCACAACAGGUUUUGCGGUCAUGGGUGUGUUAUACCCUCUGAUUAGGGUUGUGUGCUAUGGAUUUGAAACCACUUUACGCUAGCGAUCUGGGCUACUGCUUAUAAUUUCACCACUGCACGAUGCAACGUUGCUGCAAUAGACAGGCCGGGGUGAGCCAGAACUGGCACGAUUGUGUGCAAUUGAGAAGGCGACUGUCUCAUCUGUAAAAUGGGACAAUGACAUCUUGCUUAUUGUAAAAAUUAGAGUUAUUGUAUGAAAAGCAGCCUCUCUAGCAGAGAGGCUGGUCUAAAUUGCUGCCAAGACCUGGUAGCUGUUGCUACAAUGCACAGAGGAAUACAAAGUCGGCAUAAAAAGAUGUAGAUUGUGUGUGUGGCGGAAAUCCGCAGGUGAGCUAUCAACACCCUGGUCCAGAAAGUCUUGGCCUAAUUCUUCACAAGACUGCACUAUAUUCCGCUGACUCCAUUUUCUGCUCAAGGUCUUCCAUUGAAUUGGACCUACUGAUGAGACCUGCUUUUCCUUCGGGUUUUGCACUAUUUCCUUGACAACUACACGAUUGCCAAAAAUAUGGUCAUGCAGCUCUUCCCGACCCUUGUCGUGCUUUGUCAUUCUCCGGUUCAGGCGGGUGCAUUGAUCUGCUUUCGCUGAGGGCUGACGUGGAAGUUUCAGCUCAUUUCAGUUCCUCUCAGCAAAUUGGUAGUGACAGAAAGGCUGAGGGUUACCAUGGAAAUGGUCACAGCCUCACUCAAAACCACCAGAAAUACUGUAGUAUUUGAAACAGUGUGGAUUUCACCAACAGGCUUUGGAGAGAAGACACAUUCUGAAAGCUCUUGACAGAGGCUUGGUCAUGGUACAAUGAGGAGACAGUAAUUUGUUUUCAUUUCGGGAAGGAAGUGCGGCGUUCCUGAACAAUGUGCCCACUUACGAUAUUUUAUUUUCUUGGAAAGAAAAAUAAGUUACGAGGAAAAUCUGUCUGUUUUCAUCCAUUGCAGCACAUUAUCUCUUUAUUUCUUAACCAAGACAAGAAAAGAAAUCACGGUAACAAUCCAAAAUAAUUAUGAUCCCAAACGUAUUUAUAUUUGGCUUUUUGGGAUUUGUUUCUGUACGUACAUUUUAAUAUGUGCCUGAAGUUCUGUCUGAAAUUUCACUUCUCACCAAAUAAAGAAGGCUCACCAGGAAGCCGGGGAAGAACAGGAGAAGCUGAGAAGCCGUCGGACUCCUCCAUCCUGCCUCCUUCCAAAGGCUCCCAGCCCCAGGCCAGCGCCUCAGCAGGCAUCUCCUUCCAGACCCAAACCAAGCACAAGUGCCUGACCCCACGCUCUGCUCUCGCAAAUGUCCCAACUCUGCUUCAGAGGAGAAAUGGAAGAAUAAACAGACUGUGAGAUGCAGACAAAGAACUAAUGUAAACCAAGGCAACGCUGUGCAUAGAAACGCAAAAGCAAGAUUCGCUCCAGGAGUUUCAUGCCACAGGAUGGUCGACGGCUGGAAACAGGGGUUUUAUUUUCCCACCACCACAUCCCGAUCGGAGCAUCCCUGCGGGGCGUUUUAGUCCUCCGCACAGGCUUAAGGAGCGCCAGCACGUGUGUAAUAAAUGACAUUCAAUUUCAACUCCGCUGUUAAAAUGGCACCAAUGGCAACUGAUGUAAUUUCUUUCUCACUUAUUUUUUUUUUUUUGUAUUUCAUUUGUAAGUUUUACCACUUAAAAAUGAGGCAUUUGUAGAUCAUAGAAUCUAGGAGUUAAUACGAAGUUUGAAAGCCUUUUAUGGGUAACAUUUACUUAAAUAUUUUGCCCAUUACUCAUAUUCCAUUUUUUGUUCAUGUAUUAGUUUAUUUAAUAGAAAGAGUUUAUUCAAUGUUUACCUCCCAUAGUUUACUUUAGAAUAUCUCUGGACCCUUACAUCUGGUCAUAUGCUGCUUAUUUUCUUUAAAAAUGGUAUUUCUAAAUUAUUUUGUGACUUUUAACAAAACUGAAAUGAAUAAAUUGCAUCAGUUUUUGCAUAUAUGUGCACAUCAAUUCAUAUAGUUAGAGGAUUAUUUAUUAUAUGUGUAGGACGCAUGUAGCAUGAAUUUGUGAGGUGCAUUCAUGACCUGGAGUGUGUAAACAGAAUGUAAUGAUAAGGUUCUGGGUUUAUAUGCCCCAAUAACUGGACUUUUUCACAAAUUAGUAGCAGAUUUGAUUAGAUGCCCACUGAAUGCAGGCAGUUGCCAAAUGGUUUUUGGGAUGGUGGCUUUAUUUGUGUUCCUCUAUGAUAACCCUCCUUUCUUUGGGAAACUGUGUACAAUUGGGGGUGGGUGAUCCACUGGACAGGCACGGGGUUGGGGGCGGUGCUGAGAUGACCCUGCAAGUCCAGCGAGUCUCAAAGUGGGUAGAUCCGAUUUUAGGAGAUGAUGGUUUAAUCUGCCUGAGGAUGACAUCUUCACGGGAGCCUCUGCACCAGCCUCAAGGAGUUUUCUUUUUCAAAGGUCCUUUCCUUCACAUGUUAUUUAUCUGUUAAGGGGACAGCAGGGAGGAGAAGUCUCUGAGCCCUGCAUUGGACCUAUUGCCUGAAGUAUUGUCAGUCCCCAAUCCUCUGGUGCCAUAGAGAGGAAAGAGUAAGAUAAUGAAACUUUGAGGUUCGAACUUUGCAUUUUGUAGUAAAAAAUAGGUUUCUUAAUAUAUGUGAUUGUAAUGGCAUACAAGGCUUUUAAAUUCAUGUGCAUAUAAGAUAAAUUUUAAAUAUUCUUAGAGGGUUUUCAUGAAAUAUCACCUUCACAUAUUUCAUCAGUUCAGUACAAAAUGCAAAAAUGUCUAUUGUAUAAAACGGGAGAUUUAAUCACGACCACGUUAGGAAUCUCCCCAGUUACCCCUGGGAACACAGCCCCCCAGAGUGGAGACAUGCUUAGACUGCCAUCUGUUUCAGCAUCCCUGUUUCAAUGCUCCUAGUGAUGGAUUCCUGUCCAAGACAUAGAAGCAGGUAACAAAUCUAGACUGAUAAUAAAUGGAAGCUGCAACCAUAAAACCCCAGUGCAGAUACAAGAGACUCUCACUGCGUCUGGCAGUGCCUCAUUACCUUGUCAGUGUCAGGAUGUGGCUCCAGAUUUCCUGCUGCAAUGAAAUUAUAUUGGGGCUAUCGCUGGAGCACACGGCUGGCCAGCCGCAGGAGGGUGGGGGCUUGAAGGGGGGCACAUGCUGCCAGAUGUUCCGCCGGAGUCUGUCUCUUUUAAACUUGCUUCACCAAAAACUCUCCCCUACCGAUUUCUAACAUCCCUACUGCUUUAAGGAAAUGCACUUGGAAACUGCUCUUAAUUUGGCUGUGUUUGUUGCCAACAGUCUUUUGUCUUGUCUUCCUAACCUCUGCAUAGGGGAGCUGAUGAGCAGAAGGAUCCGAUUUCAGCCAAACAUGUGUUUCACCGUAUUGAAAUGUGUGCUGCUUAAUAGAGUAAACACCAAUAUAUCUGAGGGCCAGGAGACUGAAUUAACUGAUUAGUAUCAAAGAGUGCUGGGGCCGUAAACGGUAAUUGGCCACUUUCUGAGAAAAGGUAGAACUCCUUUAAGACAAGGUCUUCCAUUCUCAUUAGCCCCUUACAACUAGAAACUAUCAUUUAGCCUCACCAGGCCAAGAGAGUAAAUGAUUCUCCAAUUUUGUAUUCCUUUUCUUUGGAUAGGAAAAAUGGGUUGAGCUAACUGCUUACAAAUUGUAAAAAACAAGUAAGAAAUGCUUAUGACACAUUUUGCCUAUGUUUUAUGUUUCUCUUUGACUUUUCAACGAGGUAAAAGUAGGAUCCAAUAUCAGAAGGAGAAAGGUCACCUACAAUUAAGUGAAUGUUUAAAAAAAUACAAAAAAUGAGGGAAGCUAAUAGUCUACAUAGGUUUGAAAUAUAUGAGAAAUUAAAGCUGUUUUAUUUAAGAAGCAAAGCUUGGAUUAAUCUUCCAGGUAAUGAUAAAGAAGAGGGACUCUUACUCAGAAUUUUUUUUAAAUAUUAAGAUGUGUGAAUCUGUACAUUCUGCAGAGGUACCUGCAAUCGUGAGUAUUGAAACAUACUAAAUAUGGGAGUAAUAAUCCAUAUAGGUCCUCCUUCAUUUCAGUUUUCCAUAGACCACAUGAGUUCUGAUAAUCCUGAAAACGAUUUGCUCUCUUCUCCAAUGCUGAAUGAAGACUACCUCAUCCCUUCCUUCUUGCUUCUAACAGCAGAUCAGAUCUCCAGGUUCGAAGUUCCUAGAUGUGCUUUCUGAUCCUGGUUAUUCUUUGUCAGCCUUCAAAGCCAAAGCCUUACUGACGUGCAGAUCCAAGGAAAAGUUUCUUUCCUCAUUGUGUGUUGCCUAUGUUUAUAACCACAUACACACAUAAACAUGUAAACUCUGCAUUUCAGAAAGCAAUGAUUUGUUAUCCAUAUCUUAUCUAUACAUUUCUGCUUUGACAUUUUAUUAAAAACAUAAAAAUGAGUACGGUAACCCAAUUUGAAUCCUUUAACUCAAAAAGUUUAUUUAUGUAUACAUAAACUGAUUAAACACUUUUUUUUUUUGCCUUAGGAGGUACAUGAAUAUGUUUUAAAAUCUCCAUAAAAUAGCACAAGGUGCUCUGUGUAAACUUACCCAGAACAUACAAAUAAUUGUAAAAUAACUGAAGGGCUAAUAAAAUAAAC
rnacentral:lncRNA from 1 species